rnacentral:rRNA from 1 species
UACAGAGGGUGCAAGCGUUAAUCGGAUUUACUGGGCGUAAAGCGUGCGUAGGCGGUUCGCUAAGUCGGUUGUGAAAUCCCUCGGCUCAACUGAGGAACUGCCUUUGAAACUGCAGGGCUUGAGGCCGGGAGGGGGUAGCGGAAUUCCCAAUGUAGCGGUGAAAUGCGUAGAUAUUGGGAGGAACACCAGUGGCGAAGGCGGCUACCUGGACCGGUUCUGACGCUGAGGCGCGAAAGCGUGGGUAGCAAACAGG